UAGGGAAUCUUCCGCAAUGGACGCAAGUCUGACGGAGCAACGCCGCGUGAGUGAAGAAGGAUUUCGGUUCGUAAAACUCUGUUGUUAGAGAAGAACAGCGCAUAGAGUAACUGUUAUGCGUGUGACGGUAUCUAACCAGAAAGCCACGGCUAACUACGUGCCAGCAGCCGCGGUAAUACGUAGGUGGCAAGCGUUGUUCGGAUUUAUUGGGCGUAAAGCGAGCGCAGGCGGUCAAUUAAGUCUGCUGUGAAAGCCCCCGGCUCAACCGGAGAGGGGCAUUGGAAACUGGUUGACUUGAGUGCAGAAGAGGAGAGUGGAAUUCCAUGUGUAGCGGUGAAAUGCGUAGAUAUAUAGAGGAACACCAGUAGCGAAUGCGACUCUCUGGUCUGUAACUGACGCUGAGGCUCGAAAACGUGGGUAGCAAACAGG
rnacentral:rRNA from 1 species